rnacentral:rRNA from 1 species
AUACGGAGGAUGCAAGCGUUAUCCGGAUUUAUUGGGUUUAAAGGGUGCGUAGGCGGUUUGCUAAGCGGGAGGUGAAAUGCCGGCGCUCAACGUCGGAAGUGCCUCCCGAACUGGUGGACUGGAAUGACUCUGCCGUGGGAGGAAUGUGUAGUGUAGCGGUGAAAUGCUUAGAGAUUACACAGAACACCGAUUGCGAAGGCAUCUUACGAAGGGUUGAUUGACGCUGAGGCACGAAAGCGUGGGGAUCAAACAGGAUUAGAUACCCUGGUAGUCCACGCAGUAAACGAUGAUGGCUAACCGCUGGUUUAUUCGGAUCAGUGGCCAAGCGAAAGCGAUAAGCCAUCCACCUGGGGAGUACGACCGCAAGGUUGAAACUCAAAGGAAUUGACGGGG